rnacentral:tRNA from 1 species
ACCUGGGUGGCUCAGUCGGUUGGGCGUCUGACUUCGGCUCAGGUCGUGAUCUCGUGGUUUGUGGGUUCGAGCCCCACGUCAGGCU